GGAUUCUUACAGUUUGAUUUGGCAGAUAUACUUGAAACUGAUCACAUUAAAGGAGGUUGGCUGUCGAGGGGCUAUACAUUCAUAUAGCCCAAGUUAAUCAAUAUUUAUUCUGUUCUGUAAUUAAAGAUGAGAAAUACAAUGUUUUUAUUGCUAUUUUCCAGGUAACAGCUGUUAUGCCUUCAAGACCCAGCUAUAACAGGCUGAGGUAACUAAAAAAGUUACGUGAGAAAAUAAAGCAUGAGGAGAAAGAUUGCAACAGGACCAUAAAAUGAACACACAUGUAUUUGCUGACAUGACCAAGAAAUGCUAAGAAGCACCCUUUGAAGUCAGUGAGAGCUAGUGAGUGCUUCAGCAAAAAAGAACCUCUGCCUCAUUCUGUGCAUCCUGUGAUGAAUCAUGGUUGUGUAAUAAAGGAGGCUGUUGUAUGUGGGAUCCCUUCCUCAUUUCUUGCAGGAGUUGGAAGGCGUGUACUGAAUGAGGCA